UUUUGUGAUUUUGUUUGUAAAGAUUCUUCAUAUCAAGUCGUUUUGUGGUUCUUCCUUAUCUCCUAUGUCAUUAUUGGUUUGUUUUUUAUUUAAAGAUAACUCCACAAUUGCGUGACUUGAAUUAUGGGCGAUAUCCAUUUUCGUUAAUUGGCCCUCGUCUACCAUUUUGAAAUUUUGUUUUUGCAAAGAUUCUUUCUGUUUGGUCGUUUUGCAAUACUCCAUGGCUCAAAAUUUUGUUGUUCUUUAUUAUCUCUUGGGUCAUUAUUGGUUUGUUCUUGAUUUGGAGAUAACACUGCAAUUGCUUGGCUUGAAUCAUGCAUGACAAUACCCUUUUGGCCACCAAUAUCGUUAGACAUCCCCACAACAUAAACCUCUGAGUCUAACGCCCGUAUUUUCCUCUGUGGAAACAAAUUAAAGGCAAUCCUUCAUAUUCGCAGAAAAAACAUAUCCAUGCACUUCUAUUGACGAUUUCGCGUUCAGGCUUUCAAAGUGGCCAACAAAGGCACGAGGACUCAUGCGCAUGAGGUUGAGUCUUGUGGGCCUGUUGAAGUCAAUGCAUAUGUCCUUAAGAAAGAGACCAUAGAAAAACCAUGUUAUGGCACUCAGGGUGAGGAAAAGUGACAAGUAAAAGGGCAUAAA